UACGUAGGGCGCAAGCGUUAUCCGGAAUUAUUGGGCGUAAAGAGCUCGUAGGCGGUUUGUCGCGUCUGCCGUGAAAGUCCGGGGGCUCAACCCUGGGCCUGCAUUCGAUACGGGCAGACUAGAGUUCGGUAGGGGAGACUGGAAUUCCUGGUGUAGCGGUGAAAUGCGCAGAUAUCAGGAGGAACACCGGUGGCGAAGGCGGGUCUCUGGGCCGAAACUGACGCUGAGGAGCGAAAGCGUGGGGAGCAAACAGG
rnacentral:rRNA from 1 species